GGGAUGAAGUAGUAAGAACUGUUUCUUCAGCACCAUCAUAUUUUGUGAGGAAUCCAUGGACAACAUAUUUAAGAAGUAUAAGGAAAAAGUCCAGAAGCCUUAAACAAAACUUUCUCGGAUCGAAUUUCCAAAACUGAGGCAAUCCAACGGCAUUUGGAUAGGAAACAACUAUCUUCAACACCAUUGUUUCCCACAUAUCAACAGCAAGAUGUACUGCAAGCAAAAGGUUUAGACAAAGAAAACAAGCUGCUUCAACAGGUCCUUCAGAUCCAAAAAAAUGCGCUUAUGCAAAAAUUGUGGACAGCCAAUGAAAGGACAUCCAAAAGGUCAUUGUCCACAAGAAUUACUUGACAAAUAUUCUUAGCAGGCCAACUUUAAAGUUAGUUAUAAAAUAAUAUACUAUGCUACAAAAAAUGUUCUUAUUUGAUUAAUUAUUUUGACUUCACACAACAAAAUUGUGAAGCAUCACAGCACAAUAAUGAACCACAUAAAGGUAAAAAGUAGAGAUACAUGGCAAGAUAUUAAUCAUUCGUUACAAAACAAAAUUAGAAAUCAAAAAUGUACUAA